UGGAGCAUGUGGUUUAAUUCGAUGAUACGCGAGGAACCUUACCUGGGCUCAAAUGUAUGUUGACGUAUUCUGAAAGGGAUACUUCUUCGGACAAUAUACAAGGUGCUGCAUGGUUGUCGUCAGCUCGUGCCGUGAGGUGUCGGGUUAAGUCCCAUAACGAGCGCAACCCCUACCUUUAGUUGCCAUCAGGUUAAGCUGGGGACUCUAAAGGAACUGCCUACGCAAGUAGUGAGGAAGGCGGGGAUGACGUCAAAUCAGCACGGCCCUUACGUCCAGGGCUACACACGUGCUACAAUGGCCGAUACAGAGGGCAGCUACCUGGUGACAGGAUGCAAAUCUCCAAAGUCGGUCUCAGUUCGGAUCGGAGUCUGCAACCCGACUCCGUGAAGUUGGAUUCGCUAGUAAUCGCGCAUCAGCCAUGGCGCGGUGAAUACGUUCCCGGGCCUU
rnacentral:rRNA from 1 species